GGUGGCUCUGAAUCUCCCGGCAAACAGAGCUGCUAAAUCCUAUCACGGCAAAUUCCCACCUACCUCGAGCCUCUGAGCUUCCGCACCUGGGCACAUGGUGUUGCACACAGCCUUUCAGGUGUGGUUGGCAGAAGCACAUAGCGAACACUUCUGCAUUUCGUCACAGUCCCAAAGCCAAACUGCUACACUUUCAGCUUUUUAAAAGUUAUCAAGCAAACUGCCUGGCAGUCAGGCUCAUUCUAACCGCGUCCCAGGUCUCACUCCCUGGGCCUCGCCUUAUCCAUGAGGCUAGAGUUGUGUGAGUGGGAGACACAGAUGGAGAGAGACUCAGAACUGGUCUAGUAGGUCUGGGAAGGUCAAGAUCUUGGUGUCUACAGAUUCAGUGUCUGCUGAGGACCCACUUCCUGCUUCAUACAUGGCUGACGUUUCACUAUCAUCUCACUGUCCUUGAAUCUGGGGCUGCUGACAUAAAGAACAAGCUGCAGCGGGGGUGGAGGCACUCUUAAUGGACUCUUCCAAGGGAACUCUCCUACCUCAUUGAUUCUUCUUAGCCCCAAAUAUCCCCAUGCAAAUAAGCCCAUAAAAGGAGCCCUGAGUCCUUCAACUCCAACAUUUCAUCACUGUACCAGAACAGCAAGAAAAGAACUUAAGAACAUUCCCCAAUGUAAAAUUUCUGCGGAAGUUGCUUUAAGCACGGAGUCAAUAUCAUUUAAUUGUAUAUCUCUCUACAGAAUUCAUACAACCCAGCCUAUAAUAAAGUUACAGGCACAUAACUUGAUUCAUAUAGGCAGUUUAGGAGUGUUUAUCUCUAUGCUGGAGAAAUUGGUAUAAACGAACUGUGGUCAUAUCCUUUUUUAAAUGGUGCAAAUGUGUUAGGCUGCAGGGUUCAUAAAUUAGCUUUUCAGAGAGUUCAAUCAUAAUGGAAUAUGCUUAAUAUUCACACAUUGUAAUUUGAACAUUAAAGAUCUCGAACAAAGAUCACGGUCUUGGAAGGUAUUAAAUAAAAAAAAAAUACUCCCCUGGAAUUGCA
rnacentral:lncRNA from 13 species